rnacentral:rRNA from 1 species
AUUGGACAAUGGGCGAAAUCCUGAUCCCGCCAUGCCGCGUGUGUGAAGCAGGUCUUCGGAUUGUAAAGCACUUAAUGUCGGGAGGAAGAGCAGUAACCUAAUACCUUGCUGUUUUGACGUCACCGACACAAUAAGCACUGGCUAACUCUAUGCCAGCUUCCGCGGAAAUACCGCGUGUGCAAGCGUUAAUCGGAAUUACUGGGCGUAAAGCGCGCGUAGGUGGUUCGUUAAGUUGGAUGUGGAAGCCCCGGGCUCAACCUGGGAACUGCAUCCAAAACUGGCGAGCUAGAGUACGGUAGAGGGUGGUGGAAUUUCCUGGGUAGCGGUGAAAUGCGUAGAUAUAGGAAGGAACACCAGUGGCGAAGGCGACCACCUGGACUGAUACUGACACUGAGGUGCGAAAGCGUGGGGAGCAAACAGG